CGAACGGGUGAGUAACACGUGAGUAACCUGCCCUUGACUUUGGGAUAACUUCGGGAAACCGGAGCUAAUACCGGAUAAUAUAUUGAACCGUAUGGUUCAAUAGUGAAAGACGGUUUUGCUGUCACUUAUAGAUGGAUCCGCGCCGCAUUAGCUAGUUGGUAAGGUAACGGCUUACCAAGGCAACGAUGCGUAGCCGACCUGAGAGGGUGAUCGGCCACACUGGAACUGAGACACGGUCCAG
rnacentral:rRNA from 1 species